rnacentral:rRNA from 1 species
UACAGAGGGUGCAAACGUUGCUCGGAAUUAUUGGGCGUAAAGCGCACGUAGGCGGACUUUCAAGUCGGAUGUGAAAGCCCUCGGCUUAACCGAGGAAGUGCAUUCGAAACUGAAAGUCUUGAGUAUGGUAGAGGAUUGCGGAAUUCCCGGUGUAGAGGUGAAAUUCGUAGAUAUCGGGAGGAACAUCAGUGGCGAAGGCGGCAAUCUGGGCCAAUACUGACGCUGAGGUGCGAAAGCGUGGGGAGCAAACAGG